GAAAUGCGAUAAGUAAUGUGAAUUGCAGAAUUCAGUGAAUCAUCGAAUCUUUGAACGCACCUUGCGCUCCUUGGUAUUCCUUGGAGCAUGCCUGUUUGAGUAUCAUGAAAUCUUCAAAGUAAAUCUUUUGUUAACUCAAUUGGUUUCUACUUUGGUAUUGGAGGUCUUUGCAGCUUCACACCUGCUCCUCUUUGUUCAUUAGCUGGAUCUCAGUGUUAUGCUUGGUUCCACUCGGCGUGAUAAGUUAUCUAUCGCUGAGGACACUGUAAAAGGUGGCCAAGGUAAAUGCAGAUGAACCGCUUCUAAUAGUCCAUGACUUGGACAAUACUUUUAUGAUCUGAUCUCAAAUCAGGUAGGACUACGCGCUGAACUUAAGC
rnacentral:misc_RNA from 1 species